AGAAGAAAGCACCGGCUAACUCCGUGCCAGCAGCCGCGGUAAUACGGAGGGUGCGAGCGUUAAUCGGAAUUACUGGGCGUAAAGCGCAUGCAGGCGGCCUGUUAAGUCAGAUGUGAAAGCCCGGGGCGUUAACCUCGGAAUUGCAUUUGAAACUGGCGGGCUAGAGUCUUGUAGAGGGGGGUAGGAAUUUCAGGUGUAGCGGUGAAAUGCGUAGAGAUCUGAAGGAAUACCAGUGGCGAAGGCGGCCCCCUGGACAAAGACUGACGCUCAGAUGCGAAAGCGUGGGGAGCAAACAGGAUUAGAUACCCUGGUAG
rnacentral:rRNA from 1 species